rnacentral:misc_RNA from 1 species
AAUAGACCUCUCAAAACACCCAAUUUAAGCAUGGAGGAAGAUGGUGAAAAAAUGGCUUAGCAGAUCUAGAUUUUUUUCUUAUGAUGUAGCCCUAAGCUAAGUGGAAUGAAGAAAAUGGAUCCACAUAGAGAUUAUGACUUAGAAGAGUUGAGUUUAAUUGGGAACCUAUAUAAUAUCAGUUGAGUGCUGGCUAGCCAUUUGAUCAAGACAUAAA